rnacentral:rRNA from 1 species
UACGAAGGGGGCUAGCGUUGUUCGGAAUUACUGGGCGUAAAGCGCACGUAGGCGGAUCGAUCAGUCAGGGGUGAAAUCCCAGGGCUCGACCCUGGAACUGCCUUUGAUACUGUCGAUCUGGAGUAUGGAAGAGGUGAGUGGAAUUCCGAGUGUAGAGGUGAAAUUCGUAGAUAUUCGGAGGAACACCAGUGGCGAAGGCGGCUCGCUGGGACGGUACUGACGCUGAGACGCGAAAGCGUGGGGAGCAAACAGG